AAAUUUUCAGCGGUGGAUGUCUCGGCUCACACAACGAUGAAGG
rnacentral:rRNA from 1 species